rnacentral:rRNA from 1 species
UCGAGCGGAAGGCCACUUCGGUGGUACUCGAGCGGCGAACGGGUGAGUAACACGUGAGUAAUCUGCCCCUGGCUUUGGGAUAGCCACCGGAAACGGUGAUUAAUACCGGAUAUGACAACUUGUUGCAUGAUGGGUUGUGGAAAGUUUUUCGGCCAGGGAUGUGCUCGCGGCCUAUCAGCUUGAUGGUGAGGUAAUGGCUCACCAUGGCUUCGACGGGUAGCCGGCCUGAGAGGGUGACCGGCCACACUGGGACUGAGACACGGCCCAGACUCCUACGGGAGGCAGCAGUGGGGAAUAUUGGACAAUGGGCGGAAGCCUGAUCCAGCAACGCCGCGUGAGGGAUGACGGCCUUCGGGUUGUAAACCUCUUUCAGCAGGGACGAAGCGCAAGUGACGGUACCUGCAGAAGAAGCACCGGCCAACUACGUGCCAGCAGCCGCGGUAAUACGUAGGGUGCGAGCGUUGUCCGGAAUUAUUGGGCGUAAAGGGCUCGUAGGCGGUUUGUCGCGUCGGGAGUGAAAACCAGGUGCUUAACACCUGGCUUGCUUUCGAUACGGGCAGACCAGAGGUAUUCAGGGGAGAACGGAAUUCCUGGUGUAGCGGUGAAAUG